rnacentral:lncRNA from 1 species
AAAAUGUCCUGUACCAAGUCAGGAAUAUGGCCAUUGUUAUAUUAUAGUUCGUUUCUGUGUGUGUUACAAUUUAACGUUGCGUCGUUUGUUUUCUCUUAUUUUUGAGUGUAAAUUAACAUUGCGAUAAGACGUGUCACGGUACUUGUCUAUCCCAAAUUCAUGUAUUUGGUUUUGAUGUUAUAUUUGUUAUUCUCGUGAUAUUUUUUCUGAUGCUUGGUCCGUUUCUGUGUGUGUUAGUUACAUUGUAGUAUUGUGUCGUUGUUCUCCUCUUAUAUUUAUGCGUUUCCCUCAGUUUUAAUUUGUUACCCCGAUUUUGUUUUUUGUCCAUGGAUUUAUGAGUUUGAACAGCGGUAUACUACUGUUGCCUUUAUU